CUCUGACUCUUCAUUCAUAUCCAUGCCACCUUGUUCUCUGCCAUGACUAGCUGAUACCUAAAUCUUCUAGACAAAAUGAUCCCAUUUUCUUCACCUGUGUUAUCCACCUAAAAUCAAAGGGAGACAAAGUCCAGGAAGCCCUGAAGAAGGUUGCAGAAAUUGAGGGUCUCCACCCAAUCCCACCAUCAGACCGCAUCACCUCUGUUUGGAAUCUUGUCCAAGUUGGUACCCAUUGAAACCGUUUUUCUGACUGAUAUUUAAGUCUGUGAGGAAAGGCUUUGCUGUGUUUCCUCUGCAGAGAAAGUGCCCAGGUAACAGAGAUGACUCAAAAUCAUGUACAUUAGCAGUCAGAUCAGACAAACCAAAGCCUCACGGUGUGCCCACGUCGGAACUCCUUCUCCUAGCAUUUUUCUGGGUCAGCCUGGAUUGAGACACACUGGCCUUUAGAACUUGAAUAAAAUGCCGUUUCACUCAUUGCCAUCUUCGAUAGUUGGUAGAAGGUGAUUGCAGUUCCAAGUGGUGUCACCAUUUUAGUGAGUGCAUUGUGAAGGGAUAAGUAAGCAGAGAUGCAAAACCUCUUCCACUUCUUUUCCAUGAAGCACAGCUUUCAGAAGAAUUGAACUAUAGUAAAUGGCAGAGAGUCUAGCACAAUUAAGUAUUUCUAAACCAGGACUGAAAAUGAAG
rnacentral:lncRNA from 1 species